UACGUAGGGGGCAAGCGUUGUCCGGAUUUACUGGGCGUAAAGCGCACGUAGGCGGACUAUUAAGUCAGGGGUGAAAUCCCGGGGCUCAACCCCGGAACUGCCUUUGAUACUGGUAGUCUUGAGUUCGAGAGAGGUGAGUGGAAUUCCGCGUGUAGCAGUGAAAUGCGUAGAUAUGCGGAGGAACACCGAUGGCGAAGGCAGUUCUCUGGGCCGUAACUGACGCUGAGGAGCGAAAGCGUGGGAGCGAACAGG
rnacentral:rRNA from 1 species